AUACGUAGGGGGCGAGCGUUGUCCGGAAUGAUUGGGCGUAAAGGGCGCGUAGGCGGCCCGGUAAGUCUGGAGUGAAAGUCCUGUUUUUGAGAUGGGAAUUGCUUUGGAUACUGUCGGGCUUGAGUGCAGGAGAGGUAAGUGGAAUUCCCAGUGUCGCGGUGAAAUGCGUAGAGAUUGGGAGGAACACCAGUGGCGAAGGCGACUUACUGGACUGUAACUGACGCUGAGGCGCGAAAGUGUGGGGAGCAAACAGGAUUAGAUACCCUGGUAGUCCACACUGUAAACGAUGAAUGCUAGGUGUAGGGGGUAUCGACCCCUUCUGUGCCGCAGUCAACACAAUAAGCAUUCCGCCUGGGGAGUACGGCCGCAAGGUUGAAACUCAAAUGAAUUGACGGGG
rnacentral:rRNA from 1 species